AGGUUCCGGGCUUUGCUUAAAUGGACUAAAUUUUAAUUACAGAAAGCGUGGUGAGCAGCAGGCAAGGAGGGUGGACUUCCCGCAUGCCGUGAUCUGGAUUGAAAAAGGCCACAGAGAGAGAGAGGCUCUCUACUGCCCUGAGAAUGACAUCCCCACUGUUCACCAUGGCCUUAAAUCCCCUGCGAAUUCCACCUCAUCCUCUGCCACUUCCCGUCACUGCUCUGAAGAUGCCCUGAUCUUGUUUCAGUCCCUUGGAUGUACCCAGCUCUUCUCCAUCUUUGCAUGUGUCAUAGCCUCUUCCUGGAAAACCCUUCCUGCUGCUCAUCCCAGAACUGACUCUCCAUGUAUUUACUCUUAUUUUGAGAGAAGGGGGCAUUUCCACCACCAGAAGGGAACUUGCUGUCUUGGUAGCCAUUGUCCCCUGACACCUGGCACAUCUACUCUAUACAGUCACCAUUCAAGUGGAUGUUGAAUGAGUACACUUGUUUCACAGUUUGGUUGGGUAAGCCCCAAAGCUUGGUUCCCGGUAGGAUCAGGCUUUAUGAGUGGGCUGAGUUUCUAUAAAAGUCUCCCUACCAGUUUCCAAUCUUGGUGAAACUAUGUCUGUGGGCACAAAUGAGAAAACUUGCCAUUCGUAUCACCGGUUACCCAGCUGUGGACCAUGUGGGCCAGGUCCACAGAAGAGCCUUAUCCUACUUUCACUUUUUAUUUCCUGCAGUCAUGGGGACAGUGGGGCACCACCUUUUCAGAAACUCUAAGAAAGAGUGUUCAUGAAAGUGGCCAGAGAGUUUUACAAUUUUGCCAUUAGGAAUGAUUAAAUAUCCAUGACUAAUGCCUCUGUGAUUAAAUUGUAUUGGGAGUUCCAAA
ensembl:lncRNA novel transcript